rnacentral:rRNA from 1 species
AUAUUGGACAAUGGGGGCAACCCUGAUCCAGCCAUGCCGCGUGUGUGAAGAAGGUCCUCGGAUGGUAAAGCACUUUAAGUUGGGAGGAUGGGCUUUAGGUUAAUACCCUGUAGUUUUGAAGUUAUCAACAGAUUAAGCACCGGCUAACUCUGUGCCAGCAGCCGCGGUAAUACAGAGGGUGCAAGCGUUAAUCGGAAUUAUUGGGCGUAAAGGGGGCGUAGGUGGUUCAGUAAGAUGGGAGUGAAAUCCCCGGGCUUAACCUGGGAACUGCUUUCAUAACUGCUGAGCUAGAGUACGGUAGAGGGUAGUGGAAUUUCCUGUGUAGCGGUGAAAUGCGUAGAUAUAGGAAGGAACACAGGUGGCGAAGGCGACUACCUGGACUGAUACUGACACUGAGGUGCGAAAGCGUGGGGAGCAAACA